rnacentral:rRNA from 1 species
GACGAACGCUGGCGGCGUGCCUAAUACAUGCAAGUCGAACGCUGAAGGAGGAGCUUGCUUCUCCGGAUGAGUUGCGAACGGGUGAGUAACGCGUAGGUAACCUGCCUGGUAGCGGGGGAUAACUAUUGGAAACGAUAGCUAAUACCGCAUAACAGUAGAUGUUGCAUGACAUUUGCUUAAAAGGUGCAAUUGCAUCACUACCAGAUGGACCUGCGUUGUAUUAGCUAGUUGGUGAGGUAACGGCUCACCACGGCGACGAUACAUAGCCGACCUGAGAGGGGGAGCGGCCACACUGGGACUGAGACACGGCCCAGACUCCUACGGGAGGCAGCAGUAGGGAAUCUUCGGCAAUGGACGGAAGUCUGACCGAGCAACGCCGCGUGAGUGAAGAAGGGUUUCGGGUCGUAAAGCUCGGUUGUAAGAGAAGAACGAGUGUGAGAGUGGAAAGUUCACACUGUGACGGUAGCUUAGCAGAAAGGGACGGCUAACUACGUG